rnacentral:misc_RNA from 1 species
GCACUUUUUGUUAACACUCUAAAAAGUUACAUACAGUCUUGACCCUUUUGGGCAAACCUAACCCCCCCAGCAACUCUUAACUGGUGGAAAACUAUCCAUCCACCUCAGAGAGUUUAAAUACAUGACAAAAAGUUUCUAAUAGUACAAAGGCCAAGAAAAAAGAAAGGUUGUUGCCCUACACUUCUUAAAUCUGCUCAUUGAACCUAAAAAGAGCUCACAGAUGUAUAGAAAACAAAUACAGCUUAGAGCAGAUGAAUCUCCUGACUUUUAUUAGUGAACGCCUAACUUCUUUGCAAAGUCGUCGUCGUCAUCAUCCAAGAAUUCAUCAUCAGGGUCACCUUCGUCGAAGUUGUAAUCUUCACCUUCAACCGGCUCAUAGUCAUCAUCAUGUCCAUCUCUCUGAUCAUAGCCUUUGUGGUCUUGGGUGCCUGCUCCUUCCACAACCAUCUCUUCUUCAGCUUCAAGUUCAUUUUCAGUGCGGUACAAAGGAGAUUGGUGAUCCGCUGAUUUGGGUACAAGCUUAGAAUCUUCCUUCUGAAUAGGAAGGUCAGACCCGUUCUUGGUAACAGAGGAAGGAAAAUCCACACUCCAUGAAGUCACGGAAGUCCUCUCCGUCUGGUGUUUUCUUUCAUGUUGAUCGUCUUCACUCCCACCAGAUGACAUGUUACCUUCACCCCCUCUUUUUCUCUUCAAAAUUUCUUUUAAAGGCAUUGGUCCUUCAAAUGAUAGAUCCUCCCCACCAUCAAGCUUUUGGAACUUCCGUUUUCUAGGGGGUUGUUGCUCAUUGCUCUCAGCAGUUUUCCUACCUUUAAGUUCUGCAAGACUUUUAGGACGCAGGAAGUCAGAAUUAUUGACAUUUAUUAUAUCUCUCCUUACAUGAGGAACUCUGUUGUUUCUGCCAUCACUAUUGAUAUCCUCUUGCAUUCUUCCCUUUAUUCUGUCUCGAGACCUUCCUUGGUAAGAGUACGGUUGUGGCCUUUCUGAAGACAAUCUGCCACGGUCUCUAGCCCUAUCCAACCGUAAAUCAGCCCUAUCAUCUGGAGAAGAUGAUCGAACUGGAAGCUUUAUUCUUCCUCGAAGGCGACCACCAUUAAGAGAACUAUCAUGUGAAGGUAAAUAGCGUGCAUCCCUCCUAGAGCUCUUGUUGGCUCGGCCUUCAACAUGCUUUUCACUUGAAAAGUCAUGACCAAUAACAGAUUUCAAACCGUUACCCCUCCUAUGCUUCGAUAACCGAUGCCUCAGAUCUGAUAUCUCAACAUGUUCAGGACUAUCUACUGUACCAUAUCGUCUCCUUUCAGAAUGAGCUGAGCCCCCUGGUAUUCUCUCAGAAGAAGCUAUAUGCUGCUCCCAAGCAUACUGACCCUGAAGCCUGUCAUACGAGUCAUAUUCACGCA